rnacentral:rRNA from 2 species
CGUAACAAGGUUUCCGUAGGUGAACCUGCGGAAGGAUCAUUGUCGAGACCCGAACGCUUCAUU